rnacentral:rRNA from 1 species
GACGAACGCUGGCGGCGUGCCUAAUACAUGCAAGUAGGACGCAGUUGCGAACGGGUGAGUAACGCGUAGGUAACUGCCUCUUAGAGGGGGGUAACUAAUGGAAACGAUAGCUAAUACCGCAUACUCGUAGAUGGAUCUGCGUUGUAUUCGCUAGUAGGUAGGGUAAUGGCCUACCUAGGCGACGGACCAUAGCCGGACUGGGGAGGUGAUCGGCCACACUGGGACUGGGGCCCGGCCCAGACUCCUACGGGAAGGAGCAGUAGGGAAACUUCCGCAAUGGGGGGAACCCUGACCAGGCAACGGCGCGGGAGUGAAGAAGGUUUUCGGAUCGUAAAGCUCUGUUGGUAAGGGAGCGGUACUUAACCAGAAAGGGACGGCUAACUACGUGCCAGCAGCCGCGGUAAUAC